rnacentral:rRNA from 1 species
UACGUAGGUGGCGAGCGUUAUCCGGAUUUACUGGGUGUAAAGGGCGUGUAGGCGGGUUUGCAAGUCGGGUGUGAAAGAUUCGGGCUUAACCCGGAGAGGUCAUCCGAAACUGCAGAUCUUGAGUGCUGGAGAGGAUAGUGGAAUUCCUGGUGUAGCGGUAAAAUGCGUAGAGAUCAGGAGGAACACCAGUGGCGAAGGCGGCCUGCUGGGUAGUGGCUGACGCUGAGGCGCGACAGCGUGGGGAGCAAACAGGAUUAGAUACCCU